GAUUUCUGGCUUGGUGCGCGCCGUCCGCUUCCGUUAGGGAGUGUGUGCGGUUGUGCGCCUGCCAUCUUUUUAGACAUUAUGCUGUGCCCUUCACUGGGUGGCAGGUAGUGGCUGAAUCUUUUACUUUGAAAAAAUUAGAGUGUUCAAAGCAGGCUUGCGCUAUGAAUACAUUAGCAUGGAAUAAUAAUUUAGGACUCCCGUUCUAUUUUGUUGGUUUCUAGGAUGGAAGUAAUGAUUGAUAGGGAUAGUUGGGGGUGCUAGUAUUCAGAGGCCAGAGGUGAAAUUCUCGGAUUCUCUGAAGACUAACUUAUGCGAAAGCAUU
rnacentral:rRNA from 1 species